GCCGUGAUCGUAUAGUGGAUAGAACAUUGCGUUGUGGCCGCAAUAACCCAGGUUCAAAUCCUGGUCACGGCA
rnacentral:tRNA from 1 species